rnacentral:lncRNA from 1 species
UCCUAAGCCAACACCUUGUCCACCACCAUCAUCAACACCAAAACCACCACAUGUUCCAAAACCACCUCAUUACCCUAAACCACCAAUAGUUCAUCCACCUCAUGUUCCAAAACCACCAGUUGUGAAACCACCAAUAGUUCAUCCACCUUAUGUUCCAAAACCACCGGUGCAUCCACCUUAUGUGCCAAAACCACCAGUGCAUCCACCUUAUGUCCCAAAACCACCAGCUGUGAAGCCACCUUAUGUUCCUAAACCACCAGUUGUCCCAGUAACACCACCAUAUGUUCCUAAACCACCCGUUGUGAAACCACCAAUUGUUUAUCCACCCCAUGUUCCGGUUCCUCUUCCUCCGGUAGUACCAAUAACACCACCUUAUGUACCAACACCACCAAUUGUGAAACCACCAAUUGUUUUUCCAC